rnacentral:misc_RNA from 1 species
UGUGGGAGCGAGCUUGCUCGCGAUAGCGGUGGGUCAGUCAACAUCUGUCUUAACUGACUGUCCGUCAUCGCGAGCAAGCUCGCUCCCACA